UGGGGAAUAUUGCACAAUGGGGGAAACCCUGAUGCAGCGACGCCGCGUGAGUGAAGAAGUAUUUCGGUAUGUAAAGCUCUAUCAGCAGGGAAGAAGCAAGACGGUACCUGACGAAGAAGCCCCGGCUAACUACGUGCCAGCAGCCGCGGUAAUACGUAGGGGGCAAGCGUUAUCCGGAUUUACUGGGUGUAAAGGGAGCGUAGACGGUUAUGCAAGUCUGAAGUGAAAGCCCACGGCUUAACUGUGGGACUGCUUUGGAAACUGUAAAACUAGAGUGCUGGAGAGGUAAGUGGAAUUCCUAGUGUAGCGGUGAAAUGCGUAGAUAUUAGGAGGAACACCAGUGGCGAAGGCGGCUUACUGGACAGUAACUGACGUUGAGGCUCGAAAGCGUGGGGAGCAAACAGG
rnacentral:rRNA from 1 species